rnacentral:tRNA from 1 species
UCCCUGUUGGCUAAGACAGUAAAGAGUCUGCCUGCAAUGCAGGAGACCCAGGUUCGAUCCCUGGGUCAGGAA